CUACGGGGCGCAGCAGUGGGGAAUAUUGCACAAUGGGCGCAAGCCUGAUGCAGCAACGCCGUGUGAGUGAAGAAGGCCUUCGGGUUGUAAAACUCUGUCCUAAGGGAAGAAACAAAUGACGGUACCUUAGGAGGAAGCCCCGGCUAACUACGUGCCAGCAGCCGCGGUAAUACGUAGGGGGCAAGCGUUAUCCGGAAUCACUGGGCGUAAAGGGUGCGUAGGCGGCCUGGCAAGUCAGAGGUGAAAGGCAUUGGCUCAACCAAUGUAAGCCUUUGAAACUGUUGGGCUUGAGUGCAGGAGAGGUAAGUGGAAUUCCUAGUGUAGAGGUGACAUUCGUAGAUAUUAGGAGGAACACCAGUGGCGAAGGCGACUUACUGGACUGUAACUGACGCUGAGGCACGAAAGCGUGGGGAGCGAACAGGAUUAGAUACCCUAGUAGUC
rnacentral:rRNA from 1 species